rnacentral:rRNA from 1 species
GUGUCAGCAGCCGCGGUAAGACAGAGGGUGCAAACGUUGCUCGGAAUUACUGGGCGUAAAGCGUGUGUAGGCUGCCCUAUAAGUCGGAUGUGAAAGCCCCAGGCUCAACCUGGGAAGUGCACUCGAUACUGUAGGGCUUGAGUAUCGGAGAGGUUGGUGGAAUUCUCGGUGUAGAGGUGAAAUUCGUAGAUAUCGAGAGGAACACCGGUGGCGAAGGCGGCCAACUGGACGAAUACUGACGCUGAGACACGAAAGCGUGGGGAGCAAACAGGAUUAGAAACCCCAGUAGUCC